CACCACAAGCUGCUAUAGAAUAGGACAUUGGUAAAGCACUCAGUAAAUAUGUGUUGAGUAAAUGAUGAAUGGAAUUAGAAGCAAUGUUUCCUUUAUUUAAAGAUGCUUUUUCUCCCUGUUCUUUGUUAUGUUACUUUUCAAAAUGAAUACUUUCCAUUCUCAAGAAACCUCUUAAUAGCAAGCGGGUAUUCUCUAGUACAACUGGUAUACGUGUAACACUUGAAUAUAUGGCAGCUGUAUUUAUUAACCUCGAUUUAAUGCUUUCGUUACUACGAUACCAUGUAACAUGAUUUUAUACUCUGCUACAAUAUAUUAUUUGAUUAAAUAAUAUCAAAUCUGAUAAAAAUUGCUUAUAAAGAGGUGUCUUAGUUUUCCAUUUUCGACGUAACAAACUACCAUAAAUAUAUUGGCUUAAAACAAUAUAAAUGUAUUAUCUAGCAGUUUUGGAGGUCAGAUGUCUGACACAGGCCUCACUGGGCUAAAAUCAUGGAGUUAGAAGGGUUAGUUCCAUCUGGAGGCUCUAGAGUGGACACUAUUUUCUUACCUUUCUAGCUAUAGUGACCACCUGCCUUCCUUAUUAGUUCAUGGCCCCAUUUUGCCCUCACAACCAGCAAGAUGGCAUCUCUGACCCAGCCAGGAAAAAUUCUCUACUUUUAACGACUCAUGAGAUUCAAUUUGGUCCACGCAGAUAAUCUCCCCAUCUCAAGCUCCUUAACCUUAAUCACAUCUGCAGAGUCCCUUUUGCCAUAUAAGGAUCAUAUGUGUAGCUUAGGGUUUUGGAUAUCUGGGGAGUGGAAGCUUCAUCCAUUCUACCGCAGAAGGAAAGAAAACAUUGCUAUCUUUCAUCCUUGUCUCUGCUGACCUCAAAGACUAAUGGUCUUAUUUUUUUCUUCCCUUUCAAAACAACUUUCUUAAAACUAUGAUCACUAUCUGUUCCUUCCACUUUUCACUUCACUCUCAUUCUUUGAUCUGUUGCAAUUAAUAUAACUUCAAAUUCCAACAACAUACGGAAAAUGUUCUCUCCAGACCGCACAUGGACUACCUAAUCACUAUACCUGUUGAUCUUUUUCCUCUCUGUUUCACAGUAUGCCUGGAAAACUAGUAGGAAGAUACAUAGUUCUAAAACAUCCAGGUAGGAUAGAGACCCAUGGCCAGUUCAGAGUGUAGAACUCAGCUGAUACCCCAACAGAUGUAACUUGCCUCCUGGCCUCUUAGUGACCCACUCCUCCACUCAUGUACAAUUGUGGCUUACUUUCCUGAUCAUUCAUUUUUCUUCCCCGGGGUUGGAAUUCUCUAUCUUUCUAAUCUUCCUUCUGAAGUUUGGCUUUUGUUGCACCAUGCUUUCUCUGUGACACCCACUCAUCUAAUUGCUUUAAUAUAAAAAUAUCAGAGGAAUAAUUCUGGAAACAACAGCUUUUCCUAAAGUUACCUGAGCUUCUCCCUAGCAGGUCAGUCUGACCCACACAGAGUGCCCCAAACAAAAGCUGCCAGGCACUGCUCUGAAGAGGUUUGCUGCUACCCGGCAGUUUUGGAUGCCGGCCCAGCUCUGAGUAAGGGAGACCUCUGGUGGACAUAACUCAUCUUUUCUUUUGUGCAUUAUUGCAGUUUUGCUGUGUGCAUUUAAAUUGUGUUUAAAUUGUGGUGAGGUAUACAGAGUACAGUUCACUAGUGUUAAGUACAUUCACAUUGCUAAAUAAUAUUCAAUUUUAUGAAUGUACCAAAUUUUCUUUAUCCAUCCUCCUGUUAAUCAACACUUGAGUUGCUUCUACCUUUUAGGUAUUGUGAAUGAUGCUUCUAUGAAUGUGGAAAACAUCUUUUUGAGACCCUGCUUUCAAUUUGUUGUGCAUAUACCUAGAAGUGGAAUUGGUAGAUCAUGUGGUUAUUCUAUUUUUAAUAUUUUGAGCAACUGCCAUACUUUUUUCCAUAGUGGCUGUACAAUUUUACAUUCCCGCUUAUAAUUCACAAAGGUUUCAGUUUCUCCACAUCCUCACCAUCACUUGUAUUUUCAGUAGUAGCCGUCCUAAUAGAUAUAAGGUGGUGUCUCAUUGUGGUUUUGUUGUUGCUAUGGUUUUCAUUGUGUUGGUGUUGUUUAUUGAUCACUAACCAUGUGGUGGACAUUGUGUAAAGUGCUUUACAUUAACUAGCUUAUAUAACCCUUACUACAAUCAUAUGAGUUUAUGACUUAGGCAUUAUUUUUCCCAACUCACUGUUGAUGAAAUGGAGGCUUAGAGAAUUUAAGUGAUUUUCCUGGGAUACAGGUGGUAGAACUGGGAUUUGAACUCAGGUCUGUUUGUCUGAGAUGCAUACUUCGAAUGGUGAUACUCCCUCAGAUCCUAUACGACUAGUUUAUGUGAGGUUUCUGUUGUAUUCACUUAUAAAGUUCUUGAAAUCAUCUCUACUUUUUAUUCCUGUCGCCAGAAACUCUGUCUAUUGCUCCCAGAACUGAUGCACUGAUGAAAAGCAGGCCAAAUUCCUCGCAUAUUGUGGAUCAACACCUCUGGAUUCUGUUUUUCCUCUUCAAUCAUUGAACAUAUAUGUAUUCAGCGUUUAUAUGAUAUGCUACUUCUGGUGCUGAGAACACAGCAGCAUGGACAGAAGAGCUCAUUGUUUUCAUGAACUUUUUCUUCCCAGAUUUACUGAGCUAUGUUGACAACUAAAAGUUGUAUACAUUUAGGAUGUACAGUAUGAUGUUUUGAGAUCUAUAUAUGUAAGUGAUCACCACAUUUAAGCAUAUUAAUAUAUCUAUAACUUCAUGUAGUUGCUGUUUUUCUUUUUCAUGUUGAGAACACUCUAGAUCUACUUUUAGCAAAUUUCAAGUAUAUAAACAUUAUUACUAACUAUAGUCACCAUACUAUACAUUAGGUCUCUAGAACUGAUUCAUUUUAUAACUUGAAAGUUUGUACCUUUUGACCUCUUCCAAUCCUGGUAACCACCAUUCUCCUCCCUGUUACUAUAAAUUUGACUUUCUAAAAUUUCAUAUAUGAGUGAGAUCAUGGAGUUUUUGUCUUCCUAUGUUUGGCUCAUUUCACUUGGCAUGAUAUCCUCCAGAUUCAUCUAUGUCACAAAUGUCAGGAUUUCUUUCCUUUUUAAAGCUGAAUAAUGUAAGCUAGAUAAUGACAUGUUUCUCUGUCCAGUAACGCUGU
rnacentral:lncRNA from 1 species